rnacentral:tRNA from 1 species
GCCAAAAUAGCUCAGUCGGGAGAGCGUUAGACUGAAGAUUUAAAGGGACACUGGUUCAAUUCUGGGUUUCAGCA